GGCACAGAACUUUGUAUCCAUACUCAGCACUUAUCUCACCAUGGACCUAGGGGAAUCUUUGGAAACAGAGCACUGAUGUGUCCAGAGUGGUUGUUUUCCAAAUACAGGAAAUCAACAAACUGCUUAAACUCUAUGAAUUGAGACUCCGGGAAAGGCAAGAUUUCACCAUAUUCAAGCUGGUCUUUUUGGAAAACUUGGAAAUUGAAUGCCUCUCUUGAAUCCAUGGGAACUACAGAGGUGCCAGAUCUACGGUAUAAUGAAGAACUCAGGCUACAAAUGCGGGGCUUAAAAGAACUGUCUUCAGGGAAAAUGUCACUGCUCCAAGACU